UACGGAGGGAGCUAGCGUUGUUCGGAAUUACUGGGCGUAAAGCGUGCGCAGGCGGUUCGUUGUGUCGGUGGUGAAAUCCCCGGGCUUAACCUGGGAAUGGCCAUGGAAACUGGCGAACUGGAGUGUGGCAGAGGGGGGUGGAAUUCCGCGUGUAGCAGUGAAAUGCGUAGAGAUGUGGAGGAACACCGAUGGCGAAGGCAGCCCCCUGGGCUGAGAUUGACGCUCAGGCACGAAAGCGUGGGGAGCAAACAGG
rnacentral:rRNA from 1 species